rnacentral:rRNA from 1 species
GAAAGUAAAGAAGGGCGAAUGGUGGAUGCCUUGGCUCAUUCAGGCGAUGAAGGACGUGAUAAGCUGCGAAAAGCCACGGUGAGGCGCAAAUGGCCCUUGACCCGUGGAUAUCCGAAUGGGACAACCCAAGUCUUCGGACUUGCCGGCCUCAUGGCCGGCGCCAACGAGGGGAACUGAAACAUCUUAGUACCCUCAGGAAGAGAAAAUAAAUCAAUGAUUCCCCCAGUAGUGGCGAGCGAACGGGGAAGAGCCCAAACCGCGGGUGUCGCGAGGCACCCCCGGGGUUGUAGGACCGCGACGUUGCAUUGGCGCGGCGAGUGGAACGCUUUGGAAAAAGCGACCGUAGACGGUGAGAGUCCGGUACACGAAGCCAAGUCGAGCAUAGCGGUAUCCUGAGUAACGCGGGACACGAGAAAUCCUGCGCGAAUCGGCCGGGCCCAUCCGGCAAGGCUAAAUACUCGAAUGAGACCGAUAGUGAACCAGUACCGUGAGGGAAAGGUGAAAAGCACUUCGACAAGAAGGUUGAAAUAGAUCCUGAAACCAUCCGCCUACAAGCGGUCGGAGCACCGUAAGGUGUGACGGCGUGCCUUUUGCAUAAUGAACCUACGAGUUACCGUCGCGAGCGAGGAUAACGGCCACGAGACCGGGAUCCGCAGUGAAAGCGAGCCUGAAGAGGGCGACUAUAGUUCGCGGUGGUAGACGCGAAACCAAGUGAUCUACACAUGUCCAGGAUGAAGUCCGGGUAACACCGGAUGGAGGUCCCAACCAAUAAGCGUUGAAAAGCUUCUGGAUGAGGUGUGUGUAGGAGUGAAAGGCCAAUCAAACUUGGAGAUAGCUCGUACUCCCCGAAAGGCAUUUAGGUGCCGCGUAUGGGGUUACCCCUUGGAGGUAGAGCGACCGAUAGGACGCGAGGGCUUCACCGCCUGUCAAGUCCUGACGAACUCCGAAUGCCAAGGGGCGGGACCCAUGCAGUAAGGGGGCGGGUGCUAAGGUCCGUCCCCGAGAGGAGAAGAAUCCGGACCGCCGUCCAAGGCCCCGAAGUUUCCGCCGAGUCAGUCUAACGAAGUCCAGUCCCCGUGACAGCCAGGAUGUUGGCUUGGAAGCAGCCAUUCAUUCAAAGAGUGCGUAACAGCUCACUGGUCGAGGGUCAGGGCGUGGAUAAUAAUCGGGUGUAAGCGGAACGCCGAAGGCGCGGGAUAGUAAAUAAUAAAAGUAUCGGUAGGGGAGCAUUCCAGUGACGUCGAAUGGUGCGCGUGAGCUAUCCUGGAGUCGCUGGAAAAGCAAAUGUAGGUAUAAGUAACGAUAAGGGGAGUGAGAUUCUCCCCCGCCGCAAGUCUAAGGUUUCCCGGGCAAUGCUGGUCAUCCCGGGGUCAGUCGGGUCCUAAGUCUAAGCCGAAUGGCGAAGGCGAUGGCAGAGACGGUCAACAUUCCGUCACUGCCGUCUGGGGCGACGUGGAGACGGAGCAGUGACACCACCGCGGGGCGACGGAAGUCCCCGUUGAAGAGCGUAGGCGUUGAUCAUGGCAGGCAAAUCCACCAUGAGAGCCGACCUUGACAGUAUGGAGCCUCCUUCGGGAGGGUCCAACAGCGUGGGUAACCAUACUCCCGAGAAAAUCCGCUAAGCACAACCCAGGCGGCACCCGUACCGCAAACCGACACAGGUAGACGGGUAGAACAUACUGAGGCGUUGAGAGAUUCAUGGUUAAGGAACUAGGCAAACUGACCCCGUAACUUCGGGAUAAGGGGUCCUCGCUUCAUGCGAGGCGCAGAGAAUAGGUCCAGGCAACUGUUUAACAAAAACACAGGGCUGUGCAAAAUUGAAAGAUGAAGUAUACAGCCUGACACCUGCCCGGUGCUGGAAGGUUAAGAGGAGAUGUCAUCGCAAGAGAAGCAUUGAAUUGAAGCCCCAGUAAACGGCGGCCGUAACUAUAACGGUCCUAAGGUAGCGAAAUUCCUUGUCGGGUAAGUUCCGACCUGCACGAAUGGUGUAAUGAUCUGGACGCUGUCUCAACCGUGAGCUCAGUGAAAUUGUAGUAUCGGUGAAGAUGCCGAUUACCCGCGAUGGGACGAAAAGACCCCGUGAACCUUUACUAUAGCUUAACAUUGAAUUUGGGUAAUUGAUGUGUAGGAUAGGCCGGAGACUUUGAAGCAGGUACGCCAGUAUUUGUGGAGUCGCUGUUGAAAUACGGCCCUUUGAUUAUUUGAGUUCUAACCCGUUGUUGCGGGGACACUGUUUGGUGGGUAGUUUGACUGGGGUGGUCGCCUCCAAAAGUGUAACGGAGGCUUCUAAAGGUGCCCUCACGACGAUUGGUAACCGUCGGCAGAGUGUAAUGGCAUAAGGGCGCUUGACUGGGAGACUUACAAGUCGAUCAGGUAGGAAACUAGAGCAUAGUGAUCCGGUGUUUCUGUAUGGAAAGGACAUCGCUCAAAGGAUAAAAGGUACUCCGGGGAUAACAGGCUGAUCCCUCCCA